CCCCUAGAUGUUCUGGGCCGCACGCGCGCUACACUGAACAGUUCAACAAGUCUUAACCUUGGCCGAUAGGUCUGGGUAAUCUUUGAACGCUGUUCGUGAUUGGGAUAGACCUUUGCAAUUAUGGGUCUUCAACGAGGAAUUCCUAGUAAACGCAAGUCAUCAGCUUGCAUUGGUUACGUCCCUGCCCUUUGUACACACCGCCCGUCGCACCUACCGAUUGAAUGGUCCGGUGAAAUCUCGGGACGGCGGCUUGGUCGCUUGCGUCCGACUGCUGAAACUUGAUUAAACCAUAUCAUUUAGAGGAAGGUGAAGUCGUAACA
rnacentral:rRNA from 1 species